GGAAGCUUAUAAGGGCGUACGGGGGAUGCCUAGGCUCUCAGAGACGACGAAGGACGUGGUAAGCUGCGAAAAGCUGCGGGGAGGUGCAAACGACCGUUAAUCCGUAGAUGUCCGAAUGGGGAAACCCACAUGGUUGAAGACCAUGUACCUCGCAAGAGGAGAGAACCCAGGGAACUGAAACAUCUAAGUACCUGGAGGAGAAGAAAACAAUAGUGAUUCCGCAAGUAGUGGCGAGCGAACGCGGAAGAGCCUAAACCGGUCUGCGUGCAGAUCGGGGUUGUAGGACCGACAAAAAGUUAAUCAAACGAAGUGGAAGGUGUUUGGAAGAUGCCGCCGCAGAGGGUGAAAGCCCCGUACACGAAAGGUUGAUUAAUGGGUUGGGAUCCUGAGUAGGGCGGGACCGGCGAAAUCCUGUCUGAAACUGGCGGCACCAUCCGCUAAGGCUAAAUACUCCUGAGAGACCGAUAGCGAAGUAGUACUGUGAAGGAAAGGUGAAAAGGACCCCAAGAAGGGGAGUGAAAAGACCCUGAAACCGUACGCCUACAAGCGGUCGGAGCUGCACUUCGGUGUAGUGACGGCGUGCCUUUUGCAUAAUGAGCCUACGAGUUACCUUGACAAGCGAGUUUAAGCCCUUCAGGGGCGAAGGCGAAGCGAAAGCGAGUCUUAACAGGGCGAGAGCUUGUUGAGGUAGACGCGAAACCGAGUGAUCUACCCAUGGGCAGGUUGAAGUUCCGAUAAUAUCGGAAUGGAGGACCGAACUGGUAAACGUUGAAAAGUUUUCGGAUGACCUGUGGGUAGGGGCGAAAGACUAAUCAAACUCGGAGAUAUCUCGUACUCCCCGAAAUGCAUUUAGGUGCAGCGUCGCCAAGAGUGUGUCGGAGGUAGAGCUACCAAUAGGGCUAGGGGGCUUCACCGCCUACCAACCCCUGAUGAACUCCGAAUGCCGACACAUUGCAACGGCAGUGAGGCGGUGGGUGCUAAGGUCCAUCGCCGAGAGGGGAACAACCCAGACCAUCGGCUAAGGCCCCGAAGUGAUCGCUAAGUUGAUAGAACGAUGUGGGGAUGCAUUGACAGCUAGGAUGUUGGCUUGGAAGCAGCCAUUCAUUUAAAGAGUGCGUAACAGCUCACUAGUCGAGCGUUCCUGCGCGGAAAAUAAGCGGGCAUCAAGCGAUCCGCCGAAGCCAUGGAUGUCACGAAAGUGACAUGGUAGGGGAGCAUUCCGGUUGCGUAGAAGCCGUGUCGUGAGGCAUGGUGGAGCGGUCGGAAAAGCAAAUGUAGGCAUGAGUAACGAUAAAGGAUGUGAAAAACAUCCUCGCCGUAAGACCAAGGAUUCCUGAUCGAUGUUAAUCAGAUCAGGGUUAGUCGGGACCUAAGGAGUAGCCGAGAGGCGAAUCUGAUGGCAAACGGGUUAAUAUUCCCGUACCUGUUAUAAGUUAAAAAGGUGACGGAGAGGUGUAGUGCACGCGUACUGACGGAAUAGUACGUUGAACCAUCUGAGAGGAUGGGAUAGUACACUAAGUCCACUGGACGAGGUGAUAGUUGCAUGAAGCCGCUUCCAAGAAAAGCCGAAUUAUAACAGCCCGUACCGUAAACCGACACAGGUGGUCGAGUCGAGUAGACUAAGGCGCUCGAGUGAUUCACGGCUAAGGAAUUCGGCAAAAUGGUCUCGUAACUUCGGGAGAAGAGACCCCCACGCGAGUGGGGCGCAGUGAAUAGGUCCAGGCGACUGUUUAGCAAAAACACAGGGCUCUGCGAAAUCGAAAGAUGAAGUAUAGGGUCUGACACCUGCCCGGUGCCGGAAGGUUAAGGAAGGGGGUUAGUCGAAAGGCGAAGCUCUUGACUGAAGCCCCGGUAAACGGCGGCCGUAACUAUAACGGUCCUAAGGUAGCGAAAUUCCUUGUCGGGUAAGUUCCGACCUGCACGAAUGGUGUAACGAUCUGGACGCUGUCUCAGCCGUGAGCUCGGUGAAAUUGAAGUAUCGGUGAAGAUGCCGAUUACCCGCAACGGGACGAAAAGACCCCGUGAACCUUUACUAUAGCUUCACAUUGUGUUUGAGUAUAGGAUGUGUAGGAUAGGUGGGAGGCUAUGAAUCUGGCACGCUAGUGUUGGUGGAGCCGCCGUUGAAAUACCACCCUUUCUAUACUUAGAUUCUAACUUUCCUUAUGGAGAGGACAGUGUGUGGUGGGUAGUUUGACUGGGGUGGUCGCCUCCUAAAGAGUAACGGAGGCUUGCAAAGGUACCCUCAGCAUGGACGGUAACCAUGCGAAGAGCGCAUUAGUAGAAGGGUGCUUGACUGAGAGAACGACGGUUCGAACAGGGACGAAAGUCGGCUAAAGUGAUCCGGUGUUUCCGCAUGGAAGGGACAUCGCUCAAAGGAUAAAAGGUACUCCGGGGAUAACAGGCUGAUCUCCCCCAAGAGCUCAUAUCGACGGGGAGGUUUGGCACCUCGAUGUCGGCUCGUCACAUCCUGGGGCUGGAGAAGGUCCCAAGGGUUGGGCUGUUCGCCCAUUAAAGUGGCACGCGAGCUGGGUUCAGAACGUCGCAAGACAGUUCGGUCUCUAUCUGUUGUGGGCGUAGGAGUAUUGAGGAGGUCUGGCUCUAGUACGAGAGGACCGGGUUGGACGCACCUCUGGUGUACCAGCUGUGCUGCCAGGUGCAGUGCUGGGUAGCUAUGUGCGGUCAGGAUAAGCGCUGAAAGCAUCUAAGCGCGAAGCCGUCUCCAAGAUGAGUACUCCAUUGAGGGUCGUGGAAGAUGACCACGUUGAUAGGCUAUAGGUGUAAGUGCAGUAAUGUAUUGAGCCGAGUAGUACUAAUUACCCGACAGCUUCCUAAU
rnacentral:rRNA from 1 species